AUUGAACGCUGGCGGCAGGCUUAACACAUGCAAGUCGAGCGGAGAUGAGGUGCUUGCAUCUUAUCUUAGCGGCGGACGGGUGAGUAAUGCUUAGGAAUCUGCCUAUUAGUGGGGGACAACAUUCCGAAAGGAAUGCUAAUACCGCAUACGUCCUACGGGAGAAAGCAGGGGAUCUUCGGACCUUGCGCUAAUAGAUGAGCCUAAGUCGGAUUAGCUAGUUGGGGGGGUAAAGGCCUACCAAGGCGACGAGCUGUAGCGGGUCUGAGAGGAUGAUCCGCCACACUGGGACUGAGACACGGCGCAGACUCCUACGGGAGGCAGCAGUGGGGAAUAUUGGACAAUGGGGGGAACCCUGAUCCAGCCAUGCCGCGUGUGUGAAGAAGGCCUUAUGGUUGUAAAGCACUUUAAGCGAGGAGGAGGCUACUGAGACUAAUACUCUUGGAUAGUGGACGUUACUCGCAGAAUAAGCACCGGCUAACUCUGUGCCAGCAGCCGCGGUAACAC
rnacentral:rRNA from 1 species